UGGGGACCCAGGUGGAAUGCUGUGCCAUGUCUGCAUCUGCAGCACCACAAACACAGCCCAUACACACAUCUGGGCUUUACGUGGCCCCCCGUGGCUUUUGAGGGCUGUGUCAGCUCAGUGAGCAGCUCCUCCAGCUUGGGGCAUCCUCCUUGGGGAUGCAGUCAGUGGCAGGGAGAACAAACAGACAGCACCGGGGCAGGUAUGUUGUGUAAGGUAGAACUCAGGGUGGAUUCGGGAACAGAUACUGGCAGGGAGUUGAAAGUCACACGUGGAGGCGUGAGGGAGACAUUAGGUUUGCCAUCAAAGGCUCAUCCCCAUGGUCUGGGCAUCCAAGACCAUUUUGCUUAAUUACAUCCUGAAAGUAAGCAAAAGAAGUGCUGGGAGAGAGGAUUUCACAGCAGUCCAGCAGGCUGGAGGGAGGGGAGCAGCACAGGAGGAAGCUGAAGUGGUCCUGUCCCAACCAGGGAAACAGCCAGGGCUGUGCAGAAAGGCAGAAGAGCCCCGUGGUGCCCAGAGACAAUCACCGCCCUGUGCCUGCUGCCACCCCUCUUCUGAUGGAGCCCAGGAUAUCCUUUACUUUCCAUGCUGCAUGGACAGUCUGCUGGCUCAUGUUCACUUCUUCAUCCACCAGGAAAGGCUAUGGGCAAAGAUGAAACUUUGAGCCAGCUUAGAACAUAGAGCUUAAAAAACUCCUUGAUAGACCCCAUCACUGUGAAGCCUUAGGAGUCUGGAGUGUAAGACAAAGGACAGAUGGCAUCAAAGGAUAAACAGGAGGUUCCUUUGUAUGGGUUCCAUAUGUAAUCAAUGCGGUCUUCCCCCAUUUGGCAAUCUGCCUUCUGCUCCUUUGUCACACCUGGACCCCUGGUUCCCCGUCAGCCACCUCAGGUUCGGUGGGGCUUUCCAAUGGCCUUCAUAGCAUCUGCUCACAGCCAUCCAGGGGUACAGGCUGGACGUCUCGGGAUUAUGUCCAGAGGGUCUGUCUGGCACAGACUGUUACAGUCUUUUGGUCCGUAUCUUUCCUUCUCACUCCAUGUCUGCGGGACUCAACCUGGGCUCUGCACCACCCAAUGGCCAUGCGGAUGUGAAGCAGCAGUGGAAAACACCCCGCAGACCCUGAGAAGAACCAAAGCAGGAGAGGGGCUGCGGUGGGUGAGAGAGGCACAGUGCCCUUUGAAGCAGGGGACGCCCUGCUGGCACUGCCUGUCGCAUCCACCGCCGGCGAGUUCCUCCUCUCUGCUCUCCUUUGGGCGGAGGGCCGUCUCGCAGGGGGCAAUCAGUCAUAACCCAUCAGCUUAGGAAGGUUCCUUUCCCACUCGGGGCACUGUCUGAAAGAGAUGCAGUGUGAGUGUGUAUACAUCGACUGAAAGCAUCGUGACCUUCUCUGUAACUCUGUUCUUGUGUUUUCUUUGUCUUACCAAUCGAGGCCUUGACUGAGUGAUGGUGUUGUUAAUAUAAUUGCUGCUCUAACUUUACAGUGUGUUAAUAGGGGAAAGUAGUAAGGGAGGAUGGAAAGCUAAAAAAGGAAACUUGUGAAUAUAUUCGGGGGUCUCUUUGGGGGUUUUGCAGAACAGAUACCGAAUUUGCAUCUCAUAGGGUCAGUUUCUCUCAUUGCCUUUCUCUGUGCUUUAAUUACUGUUCCAUGCUUGUUGCAGUGUACACAAAAAAGGAUACAGGAUGCAAUGAAUUGUGCCUUUUUUAUUAAGAAAGAAGGGGGAGAUGGAAGAUGUAACUGUGGGAGAGUCACCAAAGAGCUUAACAGACUCCUUGAUAGCCCUCAUCACUGUGAAGCCGUGGGAGUCUGCAGUGUAAGACAAAGGACAGACGGCGCCAAAGGACAAACAGGAGGUGCUUUGGGGUGCAAUGUCAGUCCUGUCACGACUGAGAAAUCUUUCAUCCUUUAUCUGUGCAGGUGGAAGAAGGUACGGCCAGCUGCCUAUUAGAGGAACUUUUGUUGGCUUUUGUUUGUAAUUGGAUGGUAUGUAAGGUGCAUGUAGAACAGAAUUAAGUCGUUCUGUUUUGAUGGCACACAAUGUGAGAGAGCUCUCCAACAGGGCAGAGCACCCGACAACGGCCUGGAUAUCUAGAUAUCUAGAAAGACUGGCUAAAAUGGAGAAGCAGCAGGACGGUGUGGUGGAUGAACUGUCUCUACUGAUUAACUGGGAUGCACCCGUGGUGCUAUCAGCAACCCCUGAUGGAGAUCAGGGUGAUCAGAAGAGUCUACUGAAGGGGCUGAUUCAGCUGACCCAAGGUGAUGAACCCUGCUCCUCACCUGGACCAUCAAAACUCUCAGCUAUUCAAGGCAAACGUCUGCCUGCCCAAGCAAAGGACGGUAGGAAAUCCAUGAAGAAGUGGCAGAAAAAACCCAAUCCUGGAUUAGGAUCGACCACCAAAAGCGGUGCUACAGAAACGCUGCACAGACAGCAGCACCGCACCAGCAGGGAUUCCUCGCUCCCAUUCAUCAGUUGAUCCGUCAGCCAGAGAGUCAGGGAGUGCUCAGCAAAACUCACUCACCUUUAAGCAGCCCACCCAAAGAACCACAAUAUUUACCCUCUGCAUAUGCAGUAAGCACAAGAAAAUGCCAACUCAGUGUGGUUGAUUCUAUGGAGAGUUUAUCAUC
ensembl:lncRNA